UAGAGGACCCUGGUUCAAGCCCAGUCAGAGGAGAACUAGAGGACCCUGGUUCAAGCCCAUUCAGAGGAGAGGUAGAGGACUUUGGAGAACUAGAGUACCCUGGUUCAAGCCCAGUCAGGGGAGAGGUAGAGGACCCUGGUUCAAGCCCAGUCAGAGGAGAGGUAGAGGACCCUGGUUCAAGCCCAGUCAGAGGAGAGGUAGAGGACCCUGGUUCAAGCCCAGUCAGAGGAGAGGUAGAGGACCCUGGUUCAAGCCCAGUCAGAGGAGAG